GUAGGUGAACCUGCGUACGGCUCAUUACAUCAGCUAUAACUUUCUUUGAUCAUGAAAUCUAAAUGGAAUAACCGAGGAAAAGCCUGGGCUAAUACAUGCGACAAUUCAGGUAGCAAUACCUGAAUGCUUUUAUUAGAUCAAAAUCAACUAGUCCUUUAACCGGGACUGUUUGUUGGUGACUCUGAAUAACUUUGUGCUGAUCGUAUGACCUUUGCGUCGACGACAUAUCUUUCAAGUGUCUGACUUAUCAACUUUAGACGGUACAUUAUAUGUCUACCGUGGUUGUAACGAGUACAGAGAAUUAGGGUUCGAUUCUGGAGAGGCCGCCUGAGAAACGGCGACCACUUCCAAGGAAGGCAGCAGGCGCGCAAAUUACCCACUCUCAAAACGAGGAGGUAGUGAAGAAAAAUAACGAUGAUAGUCAAUAUGGCUGUCAAUCGGAAUGGGUGUACUUUAAAACGGUGAAGACUAAAGUUGCUGUGUUUAAAAAGCUCGUAGUUGAAUUUCGGGCAUUUGUAGCUGGCCGAUCUCACUGAUCGUGUCGGUUUACAGAUCCUCACUUGCUGGUCGAUUUGGCAUGGCCUUCAUCGGUUGUGUCAGAUUGCCAGAACGUUUACUUUGAGAAAAUUAGAGUGCUAAAAGCAGGCUCACGCUUGAAUAUAUUGCAUGGAAUAAUGAAAUAAGAUCUCGAUUUUAUUUUGUUGGUUUUAGAAAUUGAGAUAAUGAUUAAUAGGAUCAGAGGGGGGCGUACGUACUGUGCUGUGAGAGGUGAAAUUCUUGGAUCGGCACAGGACGAACAACUGCGAAAGCAUUCGCCAAGAAUGUUUUCAUUAAUCAAGAACGAAAGUUUGAGGUUCGAAGACGAUUAGAUACCGUCCUAGUUCAAACCAUAAACGUUGCCAACUGUCUUUUAGAUGCGGUUAUUCAUAUGACUCAUCUAGCGGAUCUCGAGAAAUCUAAGUGUUUAGGUUCCGGGGGAAGUAUGGUUGCAAAGCUGAAACUUAAAAGAAUUGACGGAAGGACACACAAGAAGUGGAGCCUGUGGCCUAAUUUGACUCAACACGGGGAACCUUACUCGGCCAGGACACUUUUAGGAUUGACAGAUUGAGAGCUCUUUCUUGAUUAGGUGGGUGGUGGUGCAUGGUCGUUCGUAGUUCGUGGAGCGAUUUGUCUGAUUAAUUUCGAUAACGAACGAGACUCCGGCUUACUAAAUAGUCUAAAGUUCGAAGGGACUUUUCAAGACUUCUUAGCAGGAUAAAUGGCACUUUACAAGCCAUACGAAAUGGAGCAAUAACAGGUCUGUGAUGCCCUUAGAUGUCCGAGGCUGCACGCGCGCUACACUGGAGAGUUCAGAAUGUUUCUUCCUGCUUCGACAGAAGUGGGUAACCAUACAAUUCUCUUCGUGACUGGGAUUGGAGCUUGCAAUUAUUCUCCAUCAACGAGGAAUUCCUAGUAAGCACUAUUUCAUCAGAAUGUGCUGAUUAUGUCCCUGUCCUUUGUACACACCGCCCGUCGCUACUACCGAUUGAAUGUUUUAGUGAGAUCUUCGGCUUGGUUUUUCGAACGGCUCUCGGGUUGUUCGUCUUAUAUCGAAAAGAUGAUCAAACUGGAUCAUUUAGAGGAAGUAAAAGUCGUAACAAGGUAU
rnacentral:rRNA from 1 species